UUGGCUGCAUUGUGUCUAGUCUACUGGACUAUCAAUUAAAUGGUCCAUAUUGAGUUUUAUUUCAGUUUGUAGAGAGUGCAAAGUUCAGCGGGAUGGAAUUAAGCAGCUUGGCUCAGUCUUUCAAGUGGAACACAAUUGCCUGGAACCUGCUUCAAGUUGGAGCAAACAGGCAAUAAGCCUCAGUUUUAGGAAUGAGUACAGAGAUAUCCGAACCAGUCUACAGUCUCCAGGCUACCUCAUGUGCACGCCUGCCGAAGCCUGCCCUGGAGAGACCAGCAU